rnacentral:rRNA from 1 species
GACGAACGCUGGCGGCGUGCUUAACACAUGCAAGUCGAACGAUGAACCCGGAGCUUGCUCCGGCGGAUUAGUGGCGAACGGGUGAGUAACACGUGAGUAACCUGCCCUUGACUCUGGGAUAACUGCGGGAAACUGUAGCUAAUACCGGAUACGACCCUCGGCGGCAUCGCCAGGGGGUGGAAAGAAUUUCGGUCAAGGAUGGACUCGCGGCCUAUCAGCUAGUUGGUGAGGUAACGGCUCACCAAGGCGACGACGGGUAGCCGGCCUGAGAGGAUGACCGGCCACACUGGGACUGAGACACGGCCCAGACUCCUACGGGAGGCAGCAGUGGGGAAUAUUGCACAAUGGGCGCAAGCCUGAUGCAGCAACGCCGCGUGAGGGAUGACGGCCUUCGGGUUGUAAACCUCUUUUAGUAGGGAAGAAGCGAAAGUGACGGUACCUGCAGAAAAAGCACCGGCUACCUACGUGCCAGCCGCCGCAGUAA